CCUGCUGCUCACUGAGCUUUUUGAGCUAAAUAGAUAACAUCUACUAAUGGUCAUUUUCACUGAACCAAAAGAGCAAGAACACAGAACAAGAAUAAUUGCAACACUGGGUUUAUUUACUACAGAAACUGCAAACCGCAAUCAUGAAUUGGCGCUCAUGUUAAUUUGCAGCAUCAAUUAAGAUGAUCUAUGACUGUGAAUCGUAAAAUGACCUAUCAAUAAAAGGAUGAUGUAAAUCCUAGUUGGCCUGGGAACUCCUAGGAGCCUGCUUAGUUGCUGUGCCUUGUCACAUACCAAAUGCUUAGGAAGCAGUUCUGAGCCGCUGAGAAGAAUAGCAAAAGGAUAGUUUGCUGAUAGUUGUGGCUUGUGGGCUACUGCCUAGUUGAAGAAUGGCCUGACAGGACAGGUGCUAUAUAAUUGUGUACACAACAUAUAUCCUUGAUACUGAAGUUCUAACCAGGAGCUGGAAGCAACGGAAGUACAGAACUGCAGAUUCAAUAAUAGAUCUAACCAGAGCAAAGAGCAACACUCAAACUUAUAACAGAACCACAACAAUGAAAUAUUUUAAUACCUGCAAAAUACAUCUCAUAAUCUUAUGAGCAACAAACGAAUUCAUCGAAACAACUCACUUUAUAUUCGAUGCAGUUGGAUUGCUCUGAACCCACUCUGAAGAAACAUGGCCUUCUGUGAAGGAAACCAAAGCUUUUGGCUUGUGCCCAGCCUCAUCGUGCUAGUGCUCUGAAGCCUCAGAGAGUCAGAGAUCAGAGGAGGGCAUAUGCCACCAUGACCUGGUAUAUAUAUCCAG
rnacentral:lncRNA from 1 species